rnacentral:rRNA from 1 species
AUAGAUGUUGUGCACUGCUGCUCGUGCGGAUGUUGCAAGGCUAAAGCAAGUCCUGCUUGACACGAUAGCCCACCCUUGGGGGGAGUAGAGGAUAUGAAGGACCACUGAGGCUUGUGCAUGGGCUCCGCUCAUGUCCACUAUCGGUGCUCGACGCGGAUUUGAUUCAGCCCCAUGCGUAUAGCUUCUGGAGAUUUCCCCAAGAGCAGCAUCUAGGACUUGCCACAUGCACAAAAACACCUCCUCAUUCGAAAACAAGCACCAACAGUACCAUGUGGACGACACCACCGAUAGCCGACACGAGCUUACAAUAAAGUGCGGUCGAUGUGGUCUCGUGAGCACUGGUGGCUCGCACGAACUAGACAUGCAUGCUGCUAUGUGCCCACACUGCACACCAUCAUGCUAGUGAGCGCCUACGGCAACUAGCGAAAGUCGCCUCAAAAUGCAUUCAACACCUCUACCCCCCUUAUAUAUGCUUAAAAAAACCCAGUGUUAGGAAUAAACAAUGCACUACUGUUUCCAUUUUUUUUCAUGGGUCAAAUAUCUUUGCUCAGUAUCACUCAAUUUUUGACUUUUAAAGGCCACAGGAUGGCCUUCUUGCACCAACACGCCCCCAACAACCUUGUCCAACUCAUCAGUUUAUGCUUUAAAAGGUAACUCAAAGUUUGUCAGCUUCAAUAUGGGUUCUGAAGGAAUAACUUCCUUCAACGUCUGAAAUGUUGCAUCGCACUUUUUCAGACCACACCCACUUGACAUCUUUCUUCAGCUAAUCUGUCAAAGCCACAACUUUCUAAGAGUAACCUGCAAUGAACUAGCAAUGGUUAGCCAAACCCAAGAAUGAUCUCAAUUCUUUGACCCCGCUAGGCGUCUUCUAUUCAACAAUUGCUUGCACCUUCUUUUGAUCCAUCGUCACUUGGUUUCGACUGACCAAAUACCCAAGAAAGUUCACUUCCUUUGCAGCAAACUAACAUUUUUCCAUCUUUACAAAAAGUUUGUACUUCCUCUAAUGGGACAAUACAAACUUUAAAUGUUCCAAAUGUUUAUCAAGGGAGCAACUAAAAAUGACUAUGUUAUCUUUAUAUACCACCACAAAAUCAUGUAUGGUAAUAAAAAAACACUUCGUUAAUUAAGUUGCAGAAAUUUGUCGGGGCAUUUGUCUACCUAAACGGCAUAACAAGAAACUCAUAUGAACCAUACGUCGUGCUAACCAGGGGACGGACUAAGAAUGGUUCCUUCAGGGGCCUCCCCCCCGCAUCAAACAUCAUACUCAGAACUGGCAUGAACAAGGAAAAUCCAACUGUUUAAUUAAAAAAAACAUUGUUAUGGUCCCAACGGAUGUUCAUGUAAUGUGGUUUCUUCCCAGUGCUCUAAAUGUCAAAGUGAAAAAAUUCAACCAAGCGUAGGUAAAUAGCGGGAGUAACUACGACUCUGUUAAGGUAGACAAAUGCUUCGUCAUCUAAUUAGUAACGUACAUGAAUGGAUUGAUGAUAUUCCCACUAUCCCUAUCUACUCUCAAGUGAAACCACAACCAAGAGAACAGGCUUGGCAGAAUUAAUGGAGAAAAAAGACCCUGUUGAGCUUGACUCUAGUUCGACUUUGUGAAAUGACUUGAGAGGUGUAGUAUAAGUGGGAGCCGAAAGGAAAAAGUGAAAUACAACUACUUUUAACGUUAUUUUACUUAUUUCAUUAAUUGAAAGAGGGGCACUGCCCUUAUUUUUGGACCCAAGGUUCACACUGUGGGCUGAUCUGAGCGAAAGACAUUUUCAGGUAUGGAAUUUGGAUGGGGUGGCACAUCUGUUAAAUGAUAACAUAGGUGUCAUAUGAUGAUUUCAACGAGAACAAAAAUCUCGCGUGAAACAGAAGGGUAGAAACUUAUUUGAUUCUAAUUUCUAGUAUGAAUAUUAAUCAUGAAAGCGUGGCCUAAGAAUCCUUUAGACCUUUGGAAUUUGAAGCUAGAGGUGUUAGAAAAGUUACCACAUGGAUAACUGGCUUAUGACAACCAAACGUUCAUAGCGACAUUGCUUUUUGAUCCUUUGAUGUCGGUUUUUACUAUCAUUAUGAAGCAGAAUUAACAAAGUGUUAGCUUGUUCACCCACCAAUAGGGAAUAUAAGCUGGGUUUAGACCAUUGUGAGACAGGUGAGUUUUACCUUACUGAUGAUAGUGUCUCAAUAGUAAUUCAACCUAGUAUGAGAGGAACCAUUGAUUCGUACAAUUCGUCAUUGCUCUUGGUUUAAAAGCCAGUGGCGCAAAACUAUCAUGUGCUGGAUUAUGACUAAAUGCCUCUAAGUUAGUAUCCAGGUUAGAAGUGAUGCAUGCAUUCGUCGUCCACUUGCGGACCCAUAGUAGGGGCCUUGACACCCAAGAAAAUGUGUCGUUGGCUAAGCCAUCGCGGUGAAAGGGUUUUGGUAACCGCCUUUAAGUAUAAUUUCCAUCGAGCGGCAGGAAGAAUCCUUUGCAGAUGACUUAAAUAUGCGAUGGGGUAUUGUAAGUGGAAGAGUGGCCUUGCUGCCAUGAUCCACUGAGAUUCACCCCUUUGUCACUCUAGUUCCU